UCUCUGGUGGUCCAGUGGCAGGGACUCUGUGCUCCCAAUGCAAAGGGCCCAGGUUCUAUCCCUGGUUAGGGAG
rnacentral:tRNA from 1 species